rnacentral:tRNA from 1 species
UCCUGCUUAGCUUAGAGGUUAGAGCAUCGCACUUGUAAUGUGAUGGUCAUCGGUUCGAUCCCGAUAGCUGGCU